rnacentral:rRNA from 1 species
UAAUACGUAGGGUGCGAGCGUUAAUCGGAAUUACUGGGCGUAAAGCGUGCGCAGGCGGUUUUGUAAGCCAGAUGUGAAAUCCCCGGGCUUAACCUGGGAAUGGCAUUUGGGACUGCAAGGCUGGAGUUUGGCAGAGGAGACUGGAAUUCCUGGUGUAGCAGUGAAAUGCGUAGAUAUCAGGAGGAACACCGAUGGCGAAGGCAGGUCUCUGGGCUGAAACUGACGCUCAUGCACGAAAGCGUGGGGAGCAAACAGGAUUAGAUACCCUGGUAGUCCACGCCGUAAACGAUGGGUACUAGGUGCCUGGGGGAGCGACCCUCUGGGUGCCGGCGCUAACGCAGGAAGUACCCCGCCUGGGGAGUACGACCGCAAGGUUG